GACGAACGCUGGCGGCGUGCUUAACACAUGCCAGUCGAACGGAAAGGCCCUGCUUUUGUGGGGUGCUCGAGUGGCGAACGGGUGAGUAACACGUGAGUAACCUGCCCUUGACUUGGGAUAACUUCAGGAAACUGGGGCUAAUACCGGAUAGGAGCUCCUGCUGCAUGGUGGGGGUUGGAAAGUUUCGGCGGUUGGGGAUGGACUCGCGGCUUAUCAGCUUGUUGGUGGGGUAGUGGCUUACCAAGGCUUUGACGGGUAGCCGGCCUGAGAGGGUGACCGGCCACAUUGGGACUGAGAUACGGCCCAGACUCCUACGGGAGGCAGCAGUGGGGAAUAUUGCACAAUGGGCGGAAGCCUGAUGCAGCAACGCCGCGUGCGGGAUGACGGCCUUCGGGUUGUAAACCGCUUUCGCCUGUGACGAAGCGUGAGUGACGGUAAUGGGUAAAGAAGCACCGGCUAACUACGUG
rnacentral:rRNA from 1 species